UUAAGCUCAGGUAUAUAAACCAAAACACUCUCUAAUCAUAACAGAAUUUCAUUUCACCAAAAUUCAGAUCUAAAAACUCUCCAAUUCUCUCACAUUUUCUCAAGAACAUUCAAGAACACAUCACACAAAAACCACAAAAACUCUUCCAAUUCUUGAUGAAAUUCGGAAAUUCUUGUUGAUCCAAUCUUCAUUCCACUUCUUCUUCUACUGUUUUGACAAAGCAACUUCCAAAUCCUCAAGAUUCACAACUGUCCAAAGAAUGCUCAACAAUGGUGAAUUGGAAUUUCUCAUGAUUGGAGCAAAUUCGAGCUAGGCUAACACCUCCAUUCAUCUUCCCUAUCAUCAAGCUUGGACUGUUUUGAAGAAUCACAUCCAAAUUCAUCACGAAUCGCAACUGUCGGCAAACAAAGGUACUUUAGUUGCUCAGUUCCUUGUGAACUAUUGCUUUGCUUUGCUUAAGCAACUUGCAUAGAGGGGGAUAAGCAUAUGCAACUUUGAAGCUAUGAUGCAUGUAUUUAGGGGGAGCCUUCAUGAAGACACAAAACACACAUUGUCUCGAGUUUUGUCAUCAUAAAAAAUAGGGAGUAUGUGAGUGCAACUUUUCGAUUAGAUGUAUUUUGUAUGAUAUCAAAACUAGGAUACUUUAGCGUUUAUGUAUAUUGGACAAUAUCCUCUAAGUUUAAAUGUGCAUCUUAGCAUUAAGAAUCAUAACAACAUGUUAGAAAAGGUUUAGAGAAGAAUCAUGCAUCAAAGAAAAUGUUUCAUGCAUCAAAAACUGAUUUUUAUGUGAAAAACAACAAUGUGUCG